UAAAAGUAAUGAUCAAACAUGUAACAGUUUUUAUUUAAUUUAGUAGAAUUGUUAGUAUUUAAAUGGUAUGUGAAGUCAGACAUCAUGAUCAACAUCUGUUCCUGGAUGAACAUCAUUUGUUAGUUCUGGAACAUUCAUUGUGUGUGCUAAAGAAACUCUCGUCAUAAACGUCAGCACAAAUAAUAGGGAAAUUAUAGGUUGAUAAGAAUGCUGAAUCUUUCUUGAUGUUACAGUCCUGAUCCUAAAGCAAACAUGACUUUGAUAACCAUCAUUAUUUGGACACUCACCACCUGCACCUGGAGUUCUGUGGGGCAGAUUGUGACUCAAUCUGAAGAUCAAACAGUGAAGCCUGAUCAGACUGUCACUAUUCAGUGUAAUCAUAAACCAGCAGUAUACUGUGUUAAAAAAGAUACCUCUCAGGAUUGCAUGCACUGGUACCAUCAGAUUCCUGGAGAAGCUCCUAAACUCCUGAUCUAUUACUCAUCAGACAGAGCUUCAGGUGUUUCUUCUAGAUUUAGUGGCAGUGGAAGGGACACAGAUUUUACUCUGACCAUCAGUGGAGUCCAGCCUGAAGAUUCAGGAUUUAUUACUGUCAGAGUAAAUAUAACAAGGGAGUCUCUGGGACCACAGACUGGGUGUUCACACAGUGUAAAAUCAUCAUACACACCUCACUGGGUGAUACAGCAGCACUGCAGCUUUGAGCUUCUGCAGAUGUUGAUGUUGAAGAUCAUUAUUUACCUCACUGACUUACAAACACACAUACACAGAAGGCUGCUGAAUCAAUAAUAAACACCAGAAUGUCUCAAUCAGGUUUCCACAUGAACUACAAUCCAAUAAAAUCCAUCCAACCUUGAUGAAAGCAAACUCACCAUGGCCAAAGCAACUUCUUAAAUUCAUGCUUUAACUAACAACAUGAAUACUCCAGUUCAGUGUGAAAUAAGCCAGAAUCCAUAUUUUGUUUUAUUUUGUAUGUUAACAACCACAACAGGUUUUCCCUGCUAUAUU